rnacentral:lncRNA from 1 species
AUACUUGUUUGGGUUGUAAAAAGAGAAAGUAAACUAACAAGUCCUCUAAAGAUGCUAGAAGGAGUUUUAAUAUUUUGAAAAUCAUACAUACUGAUAUUUGUGGACCGUUUUCUAUUUCAUAUUUUAAUGAUCGAGAUAUUUUAUCUCAUUUAUUGAUGACCAUACUAGAUACAUAUAUCUCUAUUUUUUUUUUGAAAGAGUGAGGCAUUAGAUGUCUUUUAGAUUUAUAAAGUAGAAGUAAAAAAAUCGAUGGAAAAAAAAUAAAAAUUGUAAGAUCUGACAGAGAUGGGG